rnacentral:rRNA from 1 species
UACGAAGGGUGCUAGCGUUGCUCGGAAUUACUGGGCGUAAAGCGCGCGCAGGCGGUCCUUCAAGUCAGAGGUGAAAGCCCAGAGCUCAACUCUGGAAUGGCCUUUGAGACUAGAGGACUUGGGUACGGGAGAGGUGAGUGGAAUUCCGAGUGUAGAGGUGAAAUUCGUAGAUAUUCGGAAGAACACCAGUGGCGAAGGCGGCUCACUGGCCCGUUACCGACGCUCAGGCGCGACAGCGUGGGGAGCAAACAGG